rnacentral:rRNA from 1 species
GACGAACGCUGGCGGCGUGCCUAAUACAUGCAAGUAGGACGCAGUUGCGAACGGGUGAGUAACGCGUAGGUAACUGCCUAUUAGAGGGGGAUAACUAUUGGAAACGAUAGCUAAUACCGCAUACUAGUAGAUGGACCUGCGUUGUAUUAGGUAGUAGGUAGGGUAAUGGCCUACCUAGGCGACGAUCCAUAGCCGCCCUGUGAAGGAGAGCGGACAAACUGGGACUGAGACAAGGCUCAGAAUCCUACGGGAGGCAGCAAUAGGGAAACUUCGGCAAUGGGGGGAAACCUGACCGAGCAACACCGCGUGAUUGAAGAAGGUUUUCGGAUCGUAAAGCUCUGUUGUUAAGGAAGCGGUACUUAACCAGAAAGGGACGGCGAACUACGUGCCAGCAGCCGCGGUAAUUC